rnacentral:rRNA from 1 species
GCCCUAAGUGGGUGGUAAACUCCAUCUAAGGCUAAAUAUGACCACGAGACCGAUAGCGAACAAGUACCGUGAGGGAAAGUUGAAAAGCACUUGAAGAGAGAGUUCAAGAGUACGUGAAACCGUUUAGGGGUAAACCUGAGAAACCCGAAAGGUCGAAGGGAGAAAUUCAUUCGCGUUUCGCAGUCGGCGUGAGGCGAUCGAGUGACGGAACGCGUCUUCGGACGUUUUCUGCACCUUUUGUUUUUCGAUCCGAUAGCGAACGCGUGCACUUUUCUCCUGGUAGGACGUCGCGAUCCGUUGGGUGUCGGUCUACGGCUCACGGUGGAGCCCGGAUGUACGGCUUGCCGUCACGUCCGGACCCGUGUGUCCCGGCUGACUCGCUCGACGGUAUACGAAUGGUUUAAGGCCGCUCUCGCGAGCGUUCGGCUCGUCGCAAGCGCGUCAAAUGUGUCGGUGAUCGGACCUAGUGCCGGUUCUGACCUUUGGCGACUGUUGGCGGCGAAGUUCUCGAACAGUGCUUUAACCAAUCUGCGACGCUAUAGCUUUGGGUACUUUCAGGACCCGUCUUGA